GAGUUGGAGCUCAGUGGUAGAGCACUUGCUUAGCACAUGUGAGGCACUGAGUUCAAUCCUCAGCAUCACA
rnacentral:tRNA from 1 species